CGAAUCAAAACUUUCAACAACGGAUCUCUUGGUUCUGGCAUCGAUGAAGAACGCAGCGAAAUGCGAUAAGUAGUGUGAAUUGCAGAAUUCAGUGAAUCAUCGAAUCUUUGAACGCACAUUGCGCCCCUUGGUAUCCCGAGGGGCAUGCCUGUUCGAGCGUCAUUUCACCACUCAAGCCUGGCUUGGUGUUGGGCGACGUCCCCCUUUAGGGACGCGCCUCGAAACGCUCGGCGGCGUGGCACCGGCUUUAAGCGUAGCAGAAUCUUUCGCUUUGAAAGUCGGGGCCCCGUCUGCCGGAAGACCUACUCACAAGGUUGACCUCGGAUCAGGUAGGGAUACCCGCUGAACUUAAGCAUAUCAA
rnacentral:misc_RNA from 1 species